UAAAAACGAUAUGAGCAUGAAUUUGAAACCCAUACUGCCAUCUAAGCAACAAUCAAUGACACAAGUAACAAAAUGAGCAGAGUGAUAGCAUUGCAGUUCCUUGUCAAGAAAAAAAAUUGCAGUUUUGCUCUUUUGCAAUAGAUGUACAAAUGUACAGACCAAGCAUCUUCGAUGCUCUACUCACCAAUUCACCAAAUCGAGGAGACGAGGACACAUUAGAUUAGGGGAACAAAGAAAAUCAAGCAACAAGAAGUGAAAAAUCUCAAUAACCAGAUCCUGGAUAACCAGAUCGGAAGAAGAAGCAAGAAAUUAAUCGAGGAGAAGAUAAGAUCAAGAAAAGGGACAGGAGGAAAUCCAUCCACCGAGACAUUGAGUCACGGCCAGCUUGCAGGAGGAGCCGAGGGCGAGUACCCCUAACUGCAACCUGCUGCACCGCUGUGCCUCGGUGUGUGGAGCAACAGAGGCCGGGGUCGUCGCCCCUAGCCCCGCCUCGUGUGGCGCUGUGGCCUGGGCAAGAGGCGCGCCCCGAGCUCCGGAACCUGGCCCCUGGGUGCGCUGCAGAGGCUCGGGUGCACGCGCGAGGCCGGCCGUCGCCCGUCGGUGGGGUCACGAGGAUUGAAGCAGGACGGGAUGAGGCCGGAGCAGCCUGCGGCGUGCAGGCGCUGGGCGGGGGGCGGCUGGCCGACUGGGGGAGUAGGGGUGGG
rnacentral:lncRNA from 1 species